rnacentral:rRNA from 1 species
AUUGAACGCUGGCGGCAUGCUUUACACAUGCAAGUCGAACGGUAACAGGGUGCUUGCACCGCUGACGAGUGGCGAACGGGUGAGUAAUGCGUCGGAACGUGCCGAGUAGUGGGGGAUAACGCAUCGAAAGGUGUGCUAAUACCGCAUACGUACUGAGGUAGAAAGUGGGGGACCUUCGGGCCUCACGCUAUUCGAGCGGCCGACGUCUUAUUAGCUAGUUGGUGAGGUAAAGGCUCACCAAGGCGACGAUCAGUAGCGGGUCUGAGAGGAUGAUCCGCCACACUGGGACUGAGACACGGCCCAGACCCCUACGGGAGGCAGCAGUGGGGAAUUUUGGACAAUGGGCGCAAGCCUGAUCCAGCCAUGCCGCGUGUCUGAAGAAGGCCUUCGGGUUGUAAAGGACUUUUGUCCGGGAGCAAAUACCCAGUGCUAAUAACGCUGGGGGCUGAGAGUACCGGAAGAAUAAGCACCGGCUAACUACGUGCCAGCCGCCGCCGUAA